rnacentral:rRNA from 1 species
CCUACGGGAGGCAGCAGUGAGGAAUAUUGGUCAAUGGACGUGAGCCUGAACCAGCCAAGUCGCGUGAGGGAUGACUGCCCUAUGGGUUGUAAACUUCUUUUAUAUGGGAAUAAAACGUGCUACGUGUGGGAUUUUGUAUGUACCAUAUGAAUAAGGCUUGGCUAACUCCGUUCCAGCAGCCGCUGUAAUACGGAGGAUUCGAGCGUUAUCCGGGUUUAUUGGGUUUAAAGGGUUCGUAUGUGGAUUGUUAAGUCAGUUGUGAAAGUUUGCGGCUCAACCGUAAAAUUGCAGUUGAAACUGGCAGUCUUGAGUACAGUAGAGGUGGGCGGAAUUCGUGGUGUAGCGGUGGAAUGCUUAGAUAUCACGAAGAACUCCGAUUGCGAAGGCAGUUCACUGGACUGCAACUGACACUGAGGCUCGAAAGUGUGGGUAUCAAACAGGAUUAGAUACCCCAGUAGUC